rnacentral:rRNA from 1 species
UGGGGAAUAUUGCACAAUGGGCGAAAGCCUGAUGCAGCGACGCCGCGUGAGGGAUGACGGCCUUCGGGUUGUAAACCUCUUUCAGUAGGGACGAAGCGCAAGUGACGGUACCUGCAGAAGAAGCACCGGCUAACUACGUGCCAGCAGCCGCGGUAAUACGUAGGGUGCGAGCGUUGUCCGGAAUUACUGGGCGUAAAGAGCUCGUAGGCGGUUUGUCACGUCGUCUGUGAAAUCCUAGGGCUUAACCCUGGACGUGCAGGCGAUACGGGCUGACUUGAGUACUACAGAGGAGACUGGAAUUUCUGGUGUAGCGGUGGAAUGCACAGAUAUCAGGAAGAACACCGAUGGCGAAGGCAGGUCUCUGGGUAGUAACUGACGCUGAGGAGCGAAAGCAUGGGUAGCGAACAGG